CUAAUUUCAAAGUCUGACGGCAACAGAGGUGCAGCUUAACAUUGACACGGUGUGGAAGAGCAAGGCUAACUUCAGUCUUCUCAAGCAGUUAAUCAACAAACAAACUUCAACAAAAGGAAGGUCCUGGAAAUCCUCUCUGGCAAAGUGACAAUGUUUCUACAAAGAAUACCUACUGCGGCGAGUGUAUAAAGAGGAAGCGGCUUUAUAAACCUGGGAUGUAGCAUUCAACUCAACAUUGUUUUCAUCUCGCCUCAAACGAUGUGGACUGAAAAUAAACUCCGGGAUCCAGAUAAGUGAUGGAUGGAUGGAUAAAACCCACAGCAAUGUUGA